rnacentral:rRNA from 1 species
UACGUAGGUGGCGAGCGUUGUCCGGAUUUACUGGGCGUAAAGAGCGCGCAGGCGGUCGUUCAAGUCGCGUGUGAAAGCCCCCGGCUCAACUGGGGAGGGUCACGCGAUACUGAUCGACUCGAAGGCAGGAGAGGGAAGUGGAAUUCCCGGUGUAGUGGUGAAAUGCGUAGAUAUCGGGAGGAACACCAAUUGCGAAGGCAGCUCGCUGGGACGUCACUGACGCUGAGACGCGAAAGCGUGGGGAGCAAACAGG